GCUAGCUACAGGCUUAACACAUGCAAGUCGAGGGGCAGCAUGGUCUUAGCUUGCUAAGGCCGAUGGCGACCGGCGCACGGGUGAGUAACACGUAUCCAACCUGCCGUCUACUCUUGGACAGCCUUCUGAAAGGAAGAUUAAUACAAGAUGGCAUCAUGAGUCCGCAUGUUCACAUGAUUAAAGGUAUUCCGGUAGACGAUGGGGAUGCGUUCCAUUAGAUAGUAGGCGGGGUAACGGCCCACCUAGUCUUCGAUGGAUAGGGGUUCUGAGAGGAAGGUCCCCCACAUUGGAACUGAGACACGGUCCAAACUCCUACGGGAGGCAGCAGUGAGGAAUAUUGGUCAAUGGGCGAGAGCCUGAACCAGCCAAGUAGCGUGAAGGAUGACUGCCCUAUGGGUUGUAAACUUCUUUUAUAAAGGAAUAAAGUCGGGUAUGGAUACCCGUUUGCAUGUACUUUAUGAAUAAGGAUCGGCUAACUCCGUGCCAGCAGCCGCGGUAAUACGGAGGAUCCGAGCGUUAUCCGGAUUUAUUGGGUUUAAAGGGAGCGUAGAUGGAUGUUUAAGUCAGUUGUGAAAGUUUGCGGCUCAACCGUAAAAUUGCCAGUUGAUACGGGAUAUCUUGAGUGCAGUGGAGGCAGGCGGAAUUCGUGUUGUAGCGGUGAAAUGCUUAGAUAUCACGAAGAACUCCGAUUGCGAAGGCAGCCUGCUAAGCUGCAACUGACAUUGAGGCUCGAAAGUGUGGGUAUCAAACAGGAUUAGAUACCCUGGUAGUCCACACGGUAAACGAUGAAUACUCGCUGUUUGCGAUAUACUGCAAGCGGCCAAGCGAAAGCGUUAAGUAUUCCACCUGGGGAGUACGCCGGCAACGGUGAAACUCAAAGGAAUUGACGGGGGCCCGCACAAGCGGAGGAACAUGUGGUUUAAUUCGAUGAUACGCGAGGAACCUUACCCGGGCUUAAAUUGCAGAUGAAUUACGGUGAAAGCCGUAAGCCGCAAGGCAUCUGUGAAGGUGCUGCAUGGUUGUCGUCAGCUCGUGCCGUGAGGUGUCGGCUUAAGUGCCAUAACGAGCGCAACCCUUGUUGUCAGUUACUAACAGGUUCCGCUGAGGACUCUGACAAGACUGCCAUCGUAAGAUGUGAGGAAGGUGGGGAUGACGUCAAAUCAGCACGGCCCUUACGUCCGGGGCUACACACGUGUUACAAUGGGGGGUACAGAGGGCCGCUACCACGCGAGUGGAUGCCAAUCCCCAAAACCUCUCUCAGUUCGGACUGGAGUCUGCAACCCGACUCCACGAAGCUGGAUUCGCUAGUAAUCGCGCAUCAGCCACGGCGCGGUGAAUACGUUCCCGGGCCUUGUACACACCGCCCGUCAAGCCAUGGGAGCCGGGGGUACCAGAAGUGCGUAACCGCGAGGAGCGCCCUAGGGUAAAACUGGU
rnacentral:rRNA from 1 species